rnacentral:rRNA from 1 species
UAAUACAUGCAAGUAGAACGCUGAAGGAGGAGCUUGCUUCUCCGGAUGAGUUGCGAACGGGUGAGUAACGCGUAGGUAACCUGCCUGGUAGCGGGGGAUAACUAUUGGAAACGAUAGCUAAUACCGCAUAAGAGUAGAUGUUGCAUGACAUUUGCUUAAAAGGUGCAAUUGCAUCACUACCAGAUGGACCUGCGUUGUAUUAGCUAGUUGGUGGGGUAACGGCUCACCAAGGCGACGAUACAUAGCCGACCUGAGAGGGUGAUCGGCCACACAGGACUGAGACACGGCCCAGACUCCUACGGGAGGCAGCAGUAGGGAAUCUUCGGCAAUGGACGGAAGUCUGACCGAGCAACGCCGCGUGAGUGAAGAAGGUUUUCGGAUCGUAAAGCUCUGUUGUAAGAGAAGAACGAGUGUGAGAGUGGAAAGUUCACACUGUGACGGUAUCUUACCAGAAAGGGACGGCUAACUACGUGCCAGCAGCCGCGGUAAUACGUAGGUCCCGAGCGUUGUCCGGAUUUAUUGGGCGUAAAGCGAGCGCAGGCGGUUAGAUAAGUCUGAAGUUAAAGGCUGUGGCUUAACCAUAGUACGCUUUGGAAACUGUUUAACUUGAGUGCAAGAGGGGAGAGUGGAAUUCCAUGUGUAGCGGUGAAAUGCGUAGAUAUAUGGAGGAACACCGGUGGCGAAAGCGGCUCUCUGGCUUGUAACUGACGCUGAGGCUCGAAAGCGUGGGGAGCAAACAGGAUUAGAUACCCUGGUAGUCCACGCCGUAAACGAUGAGUGCUAGGUGUUAGACCCU